ensembl:ncRNA F35C11.11 ncRNA
UAUCCCACUUGAUAGUGCAAUCGAGUAGUUUGACAGCUCAACGAGAGCCGUAAAAAUGGCCUGAUCA